GAAUUUUUCUUUCAAUGCAAGUGGAAGUGGCUUGGACUGCACAGGAUGUAGCCAGAAGACUGAUUUAAUUCAUCCCACUAUCAGAAAAAGUGGGCACGACGUCUAAAAAUCUCUUUGCUGCUGAGCUGUCCUGCAGUAGGCACUGAAAAGAGCUCGUGUACACGUGCCUUUUACACUGAGCUCCUACACACAGCACUGCCGAGUACUCCCGGUGCAGCAGAGGAAGCAGCCCAGCACACUGGAAAGGCCAGCUCUCGACAGCAGAGCCGGGUGUGGGGACAGGGAUCUCCAAGCCACCCCAGAACCAAAGCCUGCCCCUGAUGUCCCACAGCUGACUCUGUUUACAAAGUCCUCUCACGCAGGACACCGCCCCUCGCCAAGAUGGUGGCGUGUCAGGGAAGCACCUCCAUGUACACAGUGUGUAUCCUAGCGACUGUUACUAGCAAAGGCAGAAAUACAGCUGGAGUUUGUUUGGUAGUUAACCGGGCACUUCCUCCCGGGACACGCAGCACAGCCCUGCCUUGAGCCUGCAGCUCAGCAUGCACGGCCCUCUCGGGCAAGGCGGGGCGGCCAGAGCCUGCUGAAGGUGGAUGAGGUGCCAGCAGCUGCAUCAGACAGGGCUGCAAGGAGAGCACCCCCAGCAGCAUUGGCACUGCUGCCAGCAGCUGCACGGGCACCAUGUGCCAUGGUCCGAUUGUCACAGAGCUAAGCUGAAAGCUAUCCAGGAAUAUUCAGAGCUACGUUGAGAGUGUGUGGGCAGACCCAGGCUGAAUACACGGCUCCACGCAAGCGCUGCUCUCCACUCAACUGUAACAAAUCAUGAGCGGGAUGUACGUGGACUUUUCCACCCCCUCUCUGAGCUACUCGUGUCCCAGGUAGAGCAUGUGCUGAAGCUUUUUUGAAUUCUGUUUCUCAGAUAGUGCUGAACUUACCAAAACAGCUUUUGUUGGAGAGGAGUAUUUUAAGUAGAAACAGGAUACUCCUUUUUGAGUGUGAGAGUUGAAGCAUCUCGUGUGUGGCUGAUUUGUUGGGGUUUUUUUUUAAACACCAUACAGCAAAGAAACUGAAAACAAAACAUCCCAGACUUUUGAAUUGAAAUACAGGCUUUACAACCACAUAGUAAGUGUAGGCUCUUAUAUUUUAGUUUAAGACUAUAUCAUUUUAUAGAGUACCAAAAUAAGCAAAGGAUCAGCACUCCAUACAAAGUGUUAGUUCUUGUGACGAGGGUAGAAGGGAAAUGGACUUUAAUUACACUAAACUUUUUUUUUUUGCAAGUCUAAAGAAAACUCCAUUUCAGCAAAGCAUAUUUGGGUUUCAAUUCCCCAAAUUUCAUUAAAUAGUGUUUCUUUUAAGACAAUUUACAUUUUUCUCAUUCAAAGUAAAGGGAUGAUUUAAAGCACUAUUGACAAGGAGGUGGUGCCGUUAAUGUUUAAUGUCAAUAUGCAAUGGCAUCUGCUAUAAAGGCUAGAAGAGCAACACAAGCUUAUCUUUACUUCUGAAGACUACUAGAAAUUGACUAACACUGGAGAAAGGUUUCAAGCACAGCACACGACUCUAGCUCUAGGCUGCUGCCAGGAAGCCUCUGCUAGUCCAUACACUGCCACGGGGACUGCCAGCACACUCCAGGGCCCUGAUGGCGGCAGUGCCACGUGUUCUCACAUGUGUACCCCGUGUACUCUUACAAUGGGUAACAUCUUUUCCCUGUCUUACGGCAUUAGAACGCAAGUUAGCAGCUAACAGUGCCACUACAAUUUUACAGAAGCAUAAAGCUGAACAAAAUAGCAGUUAAAACAAAUUGAAGCUCAUGACAAUCCUUCCUCCUGUCCUACUCCCUGUCCAAAUCCUUCUCCUGGUCCUUCCCUAAUGUCUAUUUUACAAUAAAGAGGUUAAGUGGAUUUACAUGAUGCAAGUGCAACUCAAAGACUUUUGCCCUAUACAUAUAACCAUGUUAAACUGUGAAUUAUACAUGUGAUAGAUCUCUAACAGAGCAACCACCAGUUUUUUUAAAGAAACACAAGUAUUUCAGCAUGUACAGUAAUGAGUUUAAAACUGUCCAACAUCGUUGCUUUCAUACAUUCUCUUCCUCUUUAUAGCAUUAACGGGAUUUUAGACCUUGAUGGCGACAAUCCCAAACAAGAGUAAAAUGAAUUUAUUUUAUUGCAAACAAACGUCUAGAGUUAAACUUCUCCACCCACUUUCUUUAAAGAGAAAAGGAAUCAGCAGGCUAAGGAGAUACACCCAUUUGAGAAUUGACAUGAUUAAAAAUUAAGAUAUAAAAUGGGUGACUCACAGUUUCAUUAGCUUACAAAAUGGUGGAGGUAA